AGCGAACGCUGGCGGCAGGCCUAACACAUGCAAGUCGAACGAAGACUUCGGGCUUAGUGGCGGACGGGUGAGUAACGCGUGGGAACGUGCCACUUGGUACGGAAUAGCCCCGGGAAACUGGGAGUAAUACCGUAUGAGCUCUACGGAGGACAGAUUUAUCGCCAAGGGAUCGGCCCGCGUUGGAUUAGGUAGUUGGUGGGGUAAUGGCCUACCAAGCCGACGAUCCAUAGCUGGUUUGAGAGGAUGAUCAGCCACACUGGGACUGAGACACGGCCCAGACUCCUACGGGAGGCAGCAGUGGGGAAUCUUAGACAAUGGGCGCAAGCCUGAUCUAGCCAUGCCGCGUGAGCGAUGAAGGCCUUAGGGUUGUAAAGCUCUUUCAGCUGGGAAGAUAAUGACUGUACCAGCAUAAGAAGCCCCGGCUAACUCCGUGCCAGCCGCCGCGGUAAGAC
rnacentral:rRNA from 1 species